AGCGAACGCUGGCGGCGUGCCUAACACAUGCAAGUCGAACGUGAAAGGGAGCAAUCCUGAGUAAAGUGGCGUACGGGUGAGUAACGCGUAGGUAAUCUACCCCAAAGUCUGGAAUAACCUGCCGAAAGGCGGGCUAAUACUGGAUAGAGCGAUGGAAUCAGUAAUUGGGUUUUUCGGGAAAGGGAGCUCGCAAGAGACUUCGUUUUGGGAUGAGCCUGCGUCUCAUUAGCUAGUUGGUGGGGUAAUGGCCCACCAAGGCUUUGAUGGGGAGCUGGUCUGAGAGGAUGAUCAGCCACACUGGAACUGAAACACGGUCCAGACUCCUACGGGAGGCAGCAGUGGGGAAUCUUGCGCAAUGGACGAAAGUCUGACGCAGCCACGCCGCGGGAGUGAAGAAGGCCUUCGGGUUGUAAAGCUCUGUCGCCCGGGACGAAAAUUUAUUAGGUGAAUAGCCUAGUGAACUGACGGUACCGGGAGAGGAAGCACCGGCUAACUCCGUGCCAGCCGCCGCCGUAAUAC
rnacentral:rRNA from 1 species